GAUGAACGCUGGCGGCGUGCCUAAUACAUGCAAGUCGAGCGAACGGACGAGAAGCUUGCUUCUCUGAUGUUAGCGGCGGACGGGUGAGUAACACGUGGAUAACCUACCUAUAAGACUGGGAUAACUUCGGGAAACCGGAGCUAAUACCGGAUGAUAUUUUGAACCGCAUGGUUCAAAAGUGAAAGACGGUCUUGCUGUCACUUAUAGAUGGAUCCGCGCUGCAUUAGCUAGUUGGUAAGGUAACGGCUUACCAAGGCAACGAUGCAUAGCCGACCUGAGAGGGUGAUAGGCCACACUGGAACUGAGACACGGUCCAGACUCCUACGGGAGGCAGCAGUAGGGAAUCUUCCGCAAUGGGCGAAAGCAUGACGGAGCAACGCCGCGUGAGUGAUGAAGGUCUUCGGAUCGUAAAACUCUGUUAUUAGGGAAGAACAUAUGUGUAAGUAACUGUGCACAUCUUGACGGUACCUAAUCAGAAAGCCACGGCUAACUACGUG
rnacentral:rRNA from 1 species